rnacentral:sRNA from 1 species
CCAGCGGGCCUGCGUGGAGGAGCAGCUGCAGAGCGAGCGGGAGCAGGGGCAAUGCCAGCUCAGGGCCCAGCAGGUGAGGGUGGGGGUCUUCCUUUUUGCCAGAGAAGUCUCCGGCCAACUGAGUGCCUGCAGGCCUGUCCCGUGUCUUGUCUCAGGGGUAGGGACGGUGCCCCGGGGCGCUGAGUGCCAUGUGGCUCACUCAGGAGCCAGGCCUGAGCCUCCCCCUGCCCCAGGAGCUGCUGCAGAGCCUGCAGAGGGAGAAGCAAGGCCUGGAGCAGGCGACUACGGACCUGCGGCUAACCAUCCUGGAGCUAGAACGGGAGCUGGUGGAGCUGAAGGAGCGGGAGCGGCUGCUGGUGGCCUUCCCAGACCUGCACAGGCCCACCGAGACCCAGAUCCAUGCUGAUCCCGCAGGACCGGCUCUGGUCCCCUUCCAGCAAGGGAACCCAGGGAGCAACACCGCCAGUCCAGGCCCAGAGCACAUCCCCAGUCCAGGCCCAGAGCACGUCCCCAGGGCCUCUGGGCAGACAGCACCUUCCUAGCAGCAGGACGGGCAGGACCCUGCUGGGCCAGCCCUGCACAUCCCCACCUCGGCAGCCCUGCGCAUCCGCAUCUCAGCAGCCCUGUGCAUCCCCACCUCGGCAGCCCUGCGCAUCCCCACCUCGGCAGCCCUGCACAUUCCCACCUCGGCAGCCCUGCAGCCAGCCCAGCAAGUCCUUGCUGGAGGGUGUGACCCACGUGGACACCUGCACCCAGAACCCCAUCAAGGCCUUGGUCAGACUGAGGAAGAGACUGUCACCUGGCCGGGGACAGGCCAGCUCUGCACACCAGCCCCAGGAGCGGCCCAUGUAGCCUGUGGCCCAGGGCUGAGGCUGGAUGGGAGGUGGCUGGCAGCCCACCCACUAUAAUAAAGCCCCAGCCAUUGGCCCACAGC